CCUGGACAUGGAAACCAGGAGCUACUGCAUGGACCCCUGGGAGAUGCAGAGCUUCUGAGAGGAUUGAUGGACAAGCAAGAACCAAGGAUCACUCACUGAGGUGAAGCCAGUCACCAUGCUGUUAUGACACUCAAGCAGCGCAGUGGCGAAGCCCCUGUGAGGAGGAACUGAGAUCUCCAGCCAUCUGUUUGACUGCCACCUCAUUAGAGACCCCAAUCUAGAACCACCGAGCUAGGCCACCUCCAGAUACCUGACCCCGAUACAGUAUAAGAAAAUAAAAAUAUGUUGUUUAAAGUUG